rnacentral:rRNA from 1 species
CCAGCAGCUGCGGUAAUUCCAGCUCCAAUAGCAUAUAUUAAAGUUGUUGCAGUUAAAAAGCUCGUAGUUGGAUUUCUGAGGGGGUGCCAAUGUCCGCUGUUGCGUGUUCAGCGGCGCCCCCUCAUCCUUCUGUUAACGUUUCUGACAUUCAUUUGUUGGUCUCGGGCUCAGAUAUUUUACCUUGAGAAAAUUAGAGUGUUCUAGGCAGGCUUGCGCCGGAAUACAUUAGCAUGGAAUAAUAGAAUAGGACUUUAGUCUCCUUUGUUGGUUUGAGGGAUUGAAGUAAUGAUUAAUAGGGAUAGUUGGGGGCAUUAGUAUUUAAUUGUCAGAGGUGAAAUUCUCGGAUUUGU